CACACAUGGUGUCAUCCCAAUCAUCAUCUUUAGUUAAUGAUUUUGUGAUGGAGUCACCAAGUUGUUGGUGUGGCUUGAAAACACCACUACAGACGUCCCACACUAAGAAAAAUCCUGGAAGGAGAUUUUUUGCCUGCCCAAACUAUAAUAUGGGAGAUGCAAGGUGUGAAUUCUUCGUAUGGGCGGAUAUACUUCAUCUGCUAGAGGAGAAUUUUUGUGUUAGAGAGAAUAAGGCUUCAAAGACGUGGGAUGAUGUACUACAAUGCGAGUAUGACGUUCAGAAAAGAGAAGAUAAAGUGAGAGAGAUAGCAAAGAAUCU